rnacentral:rRNA from 1 species
CAUGUAGGCGGAUUGAUAAGUCUGGAGUGAAAGUCCUCUUUUCAAGGGAGGAAUUGCUUUGGAAACUAUAGAGCUUGAGUGCAGGAGAGGUUAUCGGAAUUCCCGGUGUAGCGGUGAAAUGCGUAGAUAUAUGGAAGAACACCAGUGGCGAAGGCGGCUGUCUGGUCUGUAACUGACGCUGAGGCUCGAAAGCAUGGGUAGCAAACA